GUAUUCACCGUGGCAUUCUGAUCCACGAUUACUAGCGAUUCCGACUUCACGGAGUCGAGUUGCAGACUCCGAUCCGGACUACGACGCACUUUUUGGGAUUCGCUCACUCUCGCAAGUUGGCCGCCCUCUGUAUGCGCCAUUGUAGCACGUGUGUAGCCCUACUCGUAAGGGCCAUGAUGACUUGACGUCGUCCCCACCUUCCUCCGGUUUAUCACCGGCAGUCUCCCUGGAGUUCCCACCCGAAGUGCUGGCAAACAAGGAUAAGGGUUGCGCUCGUUGCGGGACUUAACCCAACAUUUCACAACACGAGCUGACGACAGCCAUGCAGCACCUGUCUCAGAGUUCCCGAAGGCACCAAUCCAUCUCUGGAAAGUUCUCUGGAUGUCAAGAGUAGGUAAGGUUCUUCGCGUUGCAUCGAAUUAAACCACAUGCUCCACCGCUUGUGCGGGCCCCCGUCAAUUCAUUUGAGUUUUAAUCUUGCGACCGUACUCCCCAGGCGGUCUACUUAACGCGUUAGCUCCGAAAGCCACGGCUCAAGGCCACAACCUCCAAGUAGACAUCGUUUACGGCGUGGACUACC
rnacentral:rRNA from 1 species